rnacentral:rRNA from 1 species
UACGUAGGGUGCGAGCGUUGUCCGGAAUUAUUGGGCGUAAAGGGCUCGUAGGCGGUUUUGUCGCGUCGGGAGUGAAAAACCAUGGGCUUAACUCAUGGCUUGCUUCCGAUACGGGCAGACUAGAGGUAUGCAGGGGGAGAACGGAAUUCCUGGUGUAGCGGUGAAAUGCGCAGAUAUCAGGAGGAACACCGGUGGCGAAGGCGGUUCUCUGGGCAUUACCUGACGCUGAGGAGCGAAAGUGUGGGGGAGCGAACAGG